UACGUAGGGGGCAAGCGUUGUCCGGAUUUAUUGGGCGUAAAGAGCGUGUAGGCGGCCUGACAGGUCUGCUGUGAAAACUCGAGGCUCAACCUCGAGAUGUCGGCGGAAACCGUCUGGCUAGAGUCCGGAAGAGGAGAGUGGAAUUCCUGGUGUAGCGGUGAAAUGCGCAGAUAUCAGGAGGAACACCAAUAGCGAAGGCAGCUCGCUGGGACGGUACUGACGCUAAGGUGCGAAAGCGUGGGGAGCGAACAGG
rnacentral:rRNA from 1 species